AACGGACGAGAAGCUUGCUUCUCUGAUGUUAGCGGCGGACGGGUGAGUAACACGUGGAUAACCUACCUAUAAGACUGGGAUAACUUCGGGAAACCGGAGCUAAUACCGGAUAAUAUUUUGAACCGCAUGGUUCAAAAGUGAAAGACGGUCUUGCUGUCACUUAUAGAUGGAUCCGCGCUGCAUUAGCUAGUUGGUAAGGUAACGGCUUACCAAGGCAACGAUGCAUAGCCGACCUGAGAGGGUGAUCGGCCACACUGGAACUGAGACACGGUCCAGACUCCUACGGGAGGCAGCAGUAGGGAAUCUUCCGCAAUGGGCGAAAGCCUGACGGAGCAGCGCCGCGUGAGUGAUGAAGGUCUUCGGAUCGUAAAACUCUGUUAUUAGGGAAGAACAUAUGUGUAAGUAACUGUGCACAUCUUGACGGUACCUAAUCAGAAAGCCACGGCUAACUACGUGCCAGCAGCCGCGGUAAUACGUAGGUGGCAAGCGUUAUCCGGAAUUAUUGGGCGUAAAGCGCGCGUAGGCGGUUUUUUAAGUCUGAUGUGAAAGCCCACGGCUCAACCGUGGAGGGUCAUUGGAAACUGGAAAACUUGAGUGCAGAAGAGGAAAGUGGAAUUCCAUGUGUAGCGGUGAAAUGCGCAGAGAUAUGGAGGAACACCAGUGGCGAAGG
rnacentral:rRNA from 1 species